rnacentral:rRNA from 1 species
CAGUAGCCGCGGUAAUACGUAGGUGGCGAGCGUUGUCCGGACUUAUUGGGCGUAAAGGGAGCGCAGGCGGGCGAGUAAGUCUUUCUUAAAAGUGCGGGGCUCAACCCCGUGAGGGGAGAGAAACUACUCAUCUUGAGUGCAGGAGAGGAAAGCGGAAUUCCUAGUGUAGCGGUGAAAUGCGUAGAUAUUAGGAAGAACACCAGUGGCGAAGGCGGCUUUCUGGACUGUAACUGACGCUGAGGCUCGAAAGCCAGGGGAGCGAACGGGAUUAGAUACCCGCGUAGUCCCUGUCUCUUAUACA